UACGGAGGGGACUAGCGUUGUUCGGAAUUACUGGGCGUAAAGCGCACGUAGGCGGAUUUGUUAGUCAGGGGUGAAAUCCCGAGGCUCAACCUCGGAACUGCCUUUGAUACUGCAAAUCUCGAGUCCGGAAGAGGUGAGUGGAAUUCCUAGUGUAGAGGUGAAAUUCGUAGAUAUUAGGAAGAACACCAGUGGCGAAGGCGGCUCACUGGUCCGGUACUGACGCUGAGGUGCGAAAGCGUGGGGAG
rnacentral:rRNA from 1 species